rnacentral:lncRNA from 1 species
UGCGAGCGCGGGACCGAGGGGAGGCCGCGACCCUGCUGCCCACCGGCUGGAGAACGUGGGUGUCCCAGAGCAGCAGAAUCACCAGAAAUUCACUUGAUUUUCCAGUGUGGACACUGAGACUACAAGGUAAUGUGCAAUUAGGGCAGAAUUAUCGUAUAUAGCAAGCUGACAGUGCAGAGGAAGUGGCAGAAAACCCCCAGCCCAUGAAAGAAUGUCAGUAGUCAACAGACCUAUCUUGAACUUCACUUUGGAAGAAGUGACGGUUGUCCCAGUGGAGAUGGUUAAUGCUUGAAGUGUUCUUCAAGAGAGCCAUCAACCUCUUUGCAAUAGCGAUGCCUAGUUCCAGAGUUUAAUGUGAACAUGAGCAAUCACAAAAAUGCUGAGUGAAGCUGGGGCUCUUCCCAUCAGGACCCGCUGAGUCAGCAUAGGGCAGGGUAUCAAGCAAGAUAGGAUGUCUGUCAAUUAGGACAAAAA